GAUGAACGCUGGCGGCGUGCCUAAUACAUGCAAGUCGAGCGAACGGACGAGAAGCUUGCUUCUCUGAUGUUAGCGGCGGACGGGUGAGUAACACGUGGAUAACCUACCUAUAAGACUGGGAUAACUUCGGGAAACCGGAGCUAAUACCGGAUAAUAUUUUGAACCGCAUGGUUCAAAAGUGAAAGACGGUCUUGCUGUCACUUAUAGAUGGAUCCGCGCUGCAUUAGCUAGUUGGUAAGGUAACGGCUUACCAAGGCAACGAUGCAUAGCCGACCUGAGAGGGUGAUCGGCCACACUGGAACUGAGACACGGUCCAGACUCCUACGGGAGGCAGCAGUAGGGAAUCUUCCGCAAUGGGCGAAAGCCUGACGGAGCAACGCCGCGUGAGUGAUGAAGGUCUUCGGAUCGUAAAACUCUGUUAUUAGGGAAGAACAUAUGUGUAAGUAACUGUGCACAUCUUGACGGUACCUAACCAGAAAGCCACGGCUAACUACGUGCCAGCAGCCGCGGUAAUACGUAGGUGACAAGCGUUAUCCGGAAUUAUUGGGCGUAAAGCGCGCGUAGGCGGUUUUUUAAGUCUGAUGUGAAAGCCCACGGCUCAACCGUGGAGGGUCAUUGGAAACUGGAAAACUUGAGUGCAGAAGAGGAAAGUGGAAUUCCAUGUGUAGCGGUGAAAUGCGCAGAGAUAUGGAGGAACACCAGUGGCGAAGGCGACUUUCUGGUCUGUAACUGACGCUGAUGUGCGAAAGCGUGGGGAUCAAACAGGAUUAGAUACCCUGGUAGUCCACGCCGUAAACGAUGAGUGCUAAGUGUUAGGGGGUUUCCGCCCCUUAGUGCUGCAGCUAACGCAUUAAGCACUCCGCCUGGGGAGUACGACCGCAAGGUUGAAACUCAAAGGAAUUGACGGGGACCCGCACAAGCGGUGGAGCAUGUGGUUUAAUUCGAAGCAACGCGAAGAACCUUACCAAAUCUUGACAUCCUUUGACAACUCUAGAGAUAGAGCCUUCCCCUUCGGGGGACAAAGUGACAGGUGGUGCAUGGUUGUCGUCAGCUCGUGUCGUGAGAUGUUGGGUUAAGUCCCGCAACGAGCGCAACCCUUAAGCUUAGUUGCCAUCAUUAAGUUGGGCACUCUAAGUUGACUGCCGGUGACAAACCGGAGGAAGGUGGGGAUGACGUCAAAUCAUCAUGCCCCUUAUGAUUUGGGCUACACACGUGCUACAAUGGACAAUACAAAGGGCAGCGAAACCGCGAGGUCAAGCAAAUCCCAUAAAGUUGUUCUCAGUUCGGAUUGUAGUCUGCAACUCGACUACAUGAAGCUGGAAUCGCUAGUAAUCGUAGAUCAGCAUGCUACGGUGAAUACGUUCCCGGGUCU
rnacentral:rRNA from 1 species